AAAAAAUUAGUUAAACCCAAUAACAUUAGUAUGUCAAACUAAAAUUAUCUUAUUUCAUGGAUAUUUUU
rnacentral:tRNA from 1 species